rnacentral:misc_RNA from 1 species
UAUGCGGCAAAUGCAAGUUGACCGGAAAGACCGAACUAUUGUGUCCCAUGCCGAACGUGACCUUAGUGUUGACCGUCCGGAACCAGAGCAUGAUAGGGCCCUAAUGAAACUGGACAAAGAUCAACGUAGGCGUGGUGAUAAAGAAAAGGAAAGAAGAGACGAUAGAGAUAGGAGAGAACAUGAUCGGGAUAGGGUUGACAGAGAUUAUGAGCAUGAUGGAAGGAGGGACUUUAACAUGCAUCGGUUUACCCACAAGAGGAAAUCUGCACGUAGGAUUGAUGACUCAUCUACAGAGCAAUUGCAUCCAGGUGGAGAAGGUGAUGAAAAUUUUGGCGUACAUCCCAUCUCUUCUUAUGAUGAUAAAAAUUCUGCAA